AGUCGAACGAACUCUGGUAUUGAUUGGUGCUUGCAUCAUGAUUUACAUUUGAGUGAGUGGCGAACUGGUGAGUAACACGUGGGAAACCUGCCCAGAAGCGGGGGAUAACACCUGGAAACAGAUGCUAAUACCGCAUAACAACUUGGACCGCAUGGUCCGAGUUUGAAAGAUGGCUUCGGCUAUCACUUUUGGAUGGUCCCGCGGCGUAUUAGCUAGAUGGUGGGGUAACGGCUCACCAUGGCAAUGAUACGUAGCCGACCUGAGAGGGUAAUCGGCCACAUUGGGACUGAGACACGGCCCAAACUCCUACGGGAGGCAGCAGUAGGGAAUCUUCCACAAUGGACGAAAGUCUGAUGGAGCAACGCCGCGUGAGUGAAGAAGGGUUUCGGCUCGUAAAACUCUGUUGUUAAAGAAGAACAUAUCUGAGAGUAACUGUUCAGGUAUUGACGGUAUUUAACCAGAAAGCCACGGCUAACUACGUGCCAGCAGCCGCGGUAAUACGUAGGUGGCAAGCGUUGUCCGGAUUUAUUGGGCGUAAAGCGAGCGCAGGCGGUUUUUUAAGUCUGAUGUGAAAGCCUUCGGCUCAACCGAAGAAGUGCAUCGGAAACUGGGAAACUUGAGUGCAGAAGAGGACAGUGGAACUCCAUGUGUAGCGGUGAAAUGCGUAGAUAUAUGGAAGAACACCAGUGGCGAAGGCGGCUGUCUGGUCUGUAACUGACGCUGAGGCUCGAAAGUAUGGGUAGCAAACAGGAUUAGAUACCCUGGUAGUCCAUACCGUAAACGAUGAAUGCUAAGUGUUGGAGGGUUUCCGCCCUUCAGUGCUGCAGCUAACGCAUUAAGCAUUCCGCCUGGGGAGUACGGCCGCAAGGCUGAAACUCAAAGGAAUUGACGGGGGCCCGCACAAGCGGUGGAGCAUGUGGUUUAAUUCGAAGCUACGCGAAGAACCUUACCAGGUCUUGACAUACUAUGCAAAUCUAAGAGAUUAGACGUUCCCUUCGGGGACAUGGAUACAGGUGGUGCAUGGUUGUCGUCAGCUCGUGUCGUGAGAUGUUGGGUUAAGUCCCGCAACGAGCGCAACCCUUAUUAUCAGUUGCCAGCAUUAAGUUGGGCACUCUGGUGAGACUGCCGGUGACAAACCGGAGGAAGGUGGGGAUGACGUCAAAUCAUCAUGCCCCUUAUGACCUGGGCUACACACGUGCUACAAUGGAUGGUACAACGAGUUGCGAACUCGCGAGAGUAAGCUAAUCUCUUAAAGCCAUUCUCAGUUCGGAUUGUAGGCUGCAACUCGCCUACAUGAAGUCGGAAUCGCUAGUAAUCGCGGAUCAGCAUGCCGCGGUGAAUACGUUCCCGGGCCUUGUACACACCGCCCGUCACACCAUGAGAGUUUGUAACACCCAAAGUCGGUGGGGUAACCUUUUAGGAACCAGCCGCCUAAGGUGGGACAGAUGAUUAGGGUGAAGUCGUAACA
rnacentral:rRNA from 1 species